rnacentral:rRNA from 1 species
GACGAACGCUGGCGGCGUGCUUAACACAUGCAAGUCGAACGGAAAGGCCCUGCUUUUGUGGGGUGCUCGAGUGGCGAACGGGUGAGUAACACGUGAGUAACCUGCCCUUGACCUUGGGAUAACUUCAGGAAACUGGGGCUAAUACCGGAUAGGAGCUCCUGCUGCAUGGUGGGGGUUGGAAAGUUUCGGCGGUUGGGGAUGGACUCGCGGCUUAUCAGCUUGUUGGUGGGGUAGUGGCUUACCAAGACUUUGACGGGUAGCCGGCCUGAGAGGGUGACCGGCCACAUUGGGACUGAGAUACGGCCCAGACUCCUACGGGAGGCAGCAGUGGGGAAUAUUGCACAAUGGGCGGAAGCCUGAUGCAGCAACGCCGCGUGCGGGAUGACGGCCUUCGGGUUGUAAACCGCUUUCGCCUGUGACGAAGCGUGAGUGACGGUAAUGGGUAAAGAAGCACCGGCUAACUACGUG